GACGAACGCUGGCGGCGUGCCUAACACAUGCAAGUCGAACGGCCCGCCCCAUCGGAUUCCUUCGGGGAGAAGAUGGGUUACCGGGCAGUGGCGGACGGGUGAGUAACGCGUGGAGAACCUAUCUUACAGUUGGGGAUAACCUGGCGAAAGUCGGACUAAUCCCGAAUACACUCUUUAAGUAGCAUUACUGAAAGAGGAAAGGUGCUACGGCAUCGCUGUAAGGUGGCUCCGCGUCGGAUUAGCUAGCUGGUGGGGUAACGGCUCACCAGGGCAACGAUCCGUAGCUGGUCUGAGAGGAUGAUCAGCCACACUGGGACUGAGACACGGCCCAGACUCCUACGGGAGGCAGCAGUGGGGAAUCUUCCGCAAUGGGCGAAAGCCUGACGGAGCAACGCCGCGUGAACGAAGAAGGCCUUCGGGUCGUAAAGUUCUGUCCUCAGGGAAGAACCCUCAUGGUAGGGAAUGACCAUGAGCUGACGGUACCUGGGAAGGAAGCCCUGGCUAACUACGUGCCAGCAGCCGCGGUAAUACGUANAGGGCAAGCG
rnacentral:rRNA from 1 species